rnacentral:rRNA from 1 species
UACGUAGGGUGCAAGCGUUAAUCGGAAUUACUGGGCGUAAAGCGUGCGCAGGCGGUUCUAUAAGACAGAUGUGAAAUCCCCGGGCUCAACCUGGGAACUGCAUUUGUGACUGUAGAGCUGGAGUGCGGCAGAGGGGGAUGGAAUUCCGCGUGUAGCAGUGAAAUGCGUAGAUAUGCGGAGGAACACCGAUGGCGAAGGCAAUCCCCUGGGCCUGCACUGACACUCAUGCACGAAAGCGUGGGGAGCAAACAGG